AAUUGUGGAAUUGUGGGUAUAGUUUUAUAAAAUAACAAAUAUGAUGGGUGUCGUUACCAGUCUUUCCACGCAACGAAAACACAUCCAAGAAACAAAAACACGCCAAAAUCCUCGCGUGCCUGGAUGUAAAAUUUGGCUUUAUUUUUUUUAAUAGGCAUUUCUAUUACAGGUAGCGUUCCAUGUAUUUAUAUUUAUUGUUACAUAGAUGCUGACAGCUGAUCUGAGCCAGCAAUGGAAGGCAACUGAUUAGAAUUCAGGACUGAAAACCAGUCUAGCAGUACCGUUGAUGAGCUUUUUUCAUUUUAAUAUCUUUUAGGCAUGGCGUAAAUUGAACGUUAACAUACAUCCUACUAUGCUUGACUAAUUUCUUUUCAAAACGAUGUCACUUUCAUAAGAAAUCAGCCUGGCAUAACAAAAUAAAUGAAAACACUCUCCCCCCCCCCUCUAAAUUAACGUUUGUUUAAAGACGGUUCUUUCAAAGAUUUCUACUUAACUGAAGACAAGGAAAAAGUUGUCAGGACUUGAUAUAUUUACGACCUUUCGCCUCUCGUUUAGAACGUUCAAAUAUGGAACUUAGGACUCAAUCUUCAUUUAAUACUAAUUUUAAUACCAAACGUUUUAGAAACAGUUUUAUAACUAAUAACUCAUUGAAGAUGUAAUUUAGUUAUAUUAUUUAUGUAUGUACUCUAUGUAAUCUUAAAGGUAUUUCAGCAAUAUGGCUGCCAGUUUUAAAAAAUAAAUCAUCUAUCUAUCUA